AAUAUGUGUCUACUUGAAACAAAUAUAGAGAGUACUUUGUAAUUUUAGAUAAAAAUCUGCAACUGUAUUCAUAGAUAUGUGAAAGAGUUUAACUAAGGAAAACAAUAAUAAACACUUGAAUUUGAAAGUUGAUCGUAAAGGAGCAGGUAAAUCUGAGACUGACUUGAGUCCAUAAGAAGAUAAGGUAUUGCUGGUCCUGUGUAUUUCCGCUUCUUAAGAAAAUAGGAUAGGAUGGUCCUGUUAUUGUUAACAGUCAACUUUUGUCACUCAAAACAAAUGACAGCUCUGAUAUGACUGAAAUAUCGCGAGAGGAAUUCAGAGAAAUGGACGAACAAAUUAGACCACCAUUCGUGGUAAUGGUCCAAGACUUUUAACAUUUUGACGGACCUGGAAACACAAUGUAAUGCAAACAACUGGGAAAUAGGCAAAGACGGAACAAAAUCAUGAUAUAAUGGCUUAUUAUCUAUCUUUGUAAAUUCAUUUUCAGCCAGCACCGACUUGAUUCAAAGUAUAUAUCUCAAGCAGGAUGACCCAAAUAUUAUAGCACUAAUGCAACAAGCAGAAAUACUCAGUUCACUCGCACUCAAAUUUGAUGCAGAGAACAAAGAUCAGAGUAUUAAUAAUGCUUGGAAGCCAAGAUGAUCCAGGUUCACGGUUAACGACUCCAACUCCUGCUGAUAAAACAAACCAGAAACUCUCUCACUCAAGACAAGCUUCAGGUACAAGCCAUCGUUUUUAGGCUUCUAGGCUCAUAAAUUAAGUACAACAUGUGCUGAUCAUGGCAUGCCAUUCCAGAUGCCAGCGUCAACAAUAAAAUUGGCCGUGUCAACGCAACCAACAGCAUGGUAUUCUGAUGAAGCAAGUACCAGACCAAAAUAUUUGAUACAUGCUUUAAACAAGGCUGGGAAAACGAGUGGUUCAGGAAGCCAGAAAGUUUCAGUAGAUGUGUUCAAUUACAUUUGGACGGGGAACACAUUCCAAGGUGUUUUUUCAAUGGACAUGGUAAUGAUUUACAUGAUAUAGGUAAAGCACUGGUAAAUUUAGGUAAAUCACGGACUAUAGCACUCAUCAUAUGCUUCUGGCCAUAUUGGAAACAACAAAUCAGUUGCGGCACAGAGUAUGUUCUCAACAUCAUUUCCCCCUGUAUGGUGUUUAUGUGUAAUUUUUUUCUCCACAACUUUUGUGACAAAGGACUGCCUGAGCUUUGCGUAGCUGUGACAGCACUAAUUCUAGCUUGGGUCAUUUUUUUUAUUCUUUUCAUGCCUGAACAAUAUUCUUUUUGAUUUAAAAUAUAUCUUUUCUAGAAUGCAAAACUUCUGCGCUUUACAUUGGCCAUGGUCCAUUAGGUGAUAGGAACUUAUAAAUUUGCAGUUUUUAAAUAUUUGUCCGCCGAUACAAUUACAUAUUGUGGGUGUAUUUUCAGUUUCACUUUUAAGCUUCCAGCGACGGGUACUAAUAUCCGUGUACUCAAGAUGAAGCAGCAUGGAUGGAAACGGUUGAAGCAUUUAAUUUUACUGUUGAACCAUCAUUUAUUGGCAUCACUAUUGUUAUUAUGUUAGAUGUAUAUUAAUCAAAUAGCAGUGCAUAUAAAACAUGGUGUAAAUAGCAGUGCGUAUAAAACAUGGUGCAUAUAUGAUAUUCUGUCUCUACUUUAAUUUAGGAUGUUAAUGAUUUUGAUAGAAUAGAUGAGUUUGGUUUUACAACAUGCUUGGAUGUACCAGGGUGUUGAAUGGGAAGAGUCUGACAUAUUUGAAGGGUCUGUUGAAUGGGAAGAGAAGUAUUGGGAGGCUGCUGAUGAAUUUGAUCACAAGGAACUUGGUUCAGAGAAAUCAGGACGUGAUUCUGCUGGAAAUGUUUGGCGUAAAUUUUGGAAGGAGUCCAUGUACCAGAUAUUUAUAUGGCUGAUGCAAUUCUGUUUUGUUUUCCUACAGAAAGAUGGAUCUGUGCAUUUUGAGAAAACUGCAGACAAAUGGGGAAAGAACUGUGAGGGAAGUGAAUGGCAGGAGAAUUGGUGGCCUGGUGGGAAUCCGAUGGUGCCUCCGGCCAAGCUGAGAAAUGUUCGCAUAAGUGGUGCAGCAUCGACCCAAACACAUCCCUUGAGACAUAUCAUGAGCAUGUCUGGCAUGAAAGAUUGCAGGACAUAUGAAGCAGAAUUUUUUGCUAGGAUUGCUCAGGAUGCAUACAACUACACAGCAUAAUUGUGACGCUUCUAGCUCGACUCUAAGUUUCUUAUCAUUCUUUGAGUGGAUGGUUAAAGACUUAAAGUGGAGGGAGUUGAACACACAGAGUUUGGACAGACAAUUAUGCUGUUUUGCGAGAUUUAGUUUACGCUACUGGUGGUCUCUUUUUUGCUGUUGCCGUAGCGAAGCAGAAAGUGUAAAAGUUGCAAGAGUACUGUUGGUUAAAGUUUAUAAUACUCCAUUCAGUCUAUCAAGUUUCCUGUUUGAA